AUUCCACCUUCUGAAGCUUCUGUCGAACCAGUUGUAAGGAGAAUGGAGAGAGCAGUGAGAGUGGAGUCCGGGGUCCUGGUCGGGGUGGUCUGUCUGCUCCUGGCAUGCCCUGCCACAGCCACUGGGCCCGAAGUUGAUCAGCCUGAAGUAGACACCACCCUGGGUCGUGUGCGAGGCCAGCAGGUGGGCGUGAAGGGCACAGACCGCCUUGUGAAUGUCUUUCUGGGCAUUCCAUUUGCGCAGCCGCCACUGGGGCCUGACCGGUUCUCAGCCCCACGCCCAGCACAGCCCUGGGAGGGUGUGCGGGAUGCCAGCACUGCGCCCCCAAUGUGCCUACAAGACGUGGAGAGCAUGAACAACAGCAGAUUUGUCCUCAACGGAAAACAGCAGAUCUUCUCCGUUUCAGAGGACUGCCUGGUCCUCAACAUCUAUAGCCCAGCUGAGGUCCCCGCAGGGUCCGGUAGGCCGGUAGGCACCCCAGAGGGCCCUGUCCACCUGAUCCAGCUCCACUAUGCCCACCUGUCCCCUCCCCGUCCCUGUUUCCAAAGCACCCUAGCGGUCCUGAGACUGCCUGGGCUGGCAGGUGG
rnacentral:sRNA from 1 species